AUUGAACGCUGGCGGCAGGCCUAACACAUGCAAGUCGAACGAGUGGCGGACGGGUGAGUAAUGUCUGGGAAACUGCCCGAUGGAGGGGGGUAACUACUGGAAACGGUAGCUAAUACCGCAUACCAUCGGAUGUGCCCAGAUGGGAUUAGCUAGUAGGUGUGGUACCGGCUCACCUAGGCGACGAUCCCUAGCUGGUCUGAGAGGAUGACCAGCCACACUGGAACUGGUACACGGUCCAGACUCCUACGGGAGGCAGCAGUGGGGAAUAUUGCACAAUGGGCGAAAGCCGGAUGCAGCCAUGCCGCGUGUAUGAAGAAUGCCUUCGGGUUGUAAAGUACUUUCAGCGAGGAGGCGUUACUCGCAGAAGAAGCACCGGCUAACUCCGUGCCAGCAGCCGCGGUAAUAC
rnacentral:rRNA from 1 species